UGGGGAAUUUUGGACAAUGGGGGAAACCCUGCUCCAGCCAUCCCGCGUGUGCGAUGAAGGCCUUCGGGUUGUAAAGCACUUUUGGCAGGAAAGAAACGUCAUGGGUUAAUACCCCGUGAAACUGACGGUACCUGCAGAAUAAGCACCGGCUAACUACGUGCCAGCAGCCGCGGUAAUACGUAGGGUGCAAGCGUUAAUCGGAAUUACUGGGCGUAAAGCGUGCGCAGGCGGUUCGGAAAGAAAGAUGUGAAAUCCCAGAGCUCAACUUUGGAACUGCAUUUUUAACUACCGGGCUAGAGUGUGGCAGAGGGGGGUGGAAUUCCGCGUGUAGCAGUGAAAUGCGUAGAUAUGCGGAGGAACACCGAUGGCGAAGGCAGCCUCCUGGGAUAACACUGACGCUCAUGCACGAGAGCGUGGGGAGCAAACAGG
rnacentral:rRNA from 1 species